UUUUAUCUUUUGCUUUAGCAACAUUUUCUCUUAUUUUUUUUAUUUCUCUUGACCUUUUUCUCACCCAAAAAAAUUAAAAUUAUUUUUGACAAUAGAAAAAAUAUAAUUUCAAUAUUAAAUUAGCAUAUAUUACAAUACCCUGAUAUUUAAUUGACAAAAUAAAGUAAUUAGCUUAAUCUCUUGAACACAUCUUCUCAAACCAAAUUGCUUUUGAACUUACCAAACGGUAUCAUAUUGCAAACUUACAGGCAACAAUUAAAUGGCAUUAUGAAAAUUUUGUUUUCCCUUAAUGGGAGGCUUUCAAAGAGAAAGCCCCCUCCAAAAAUAGGCGUAUGCCGCUGUGAGCGGCGAGCACACGGUAUUCUUUAGUAAAAGGCGAAAGAAUAGUUCGCUAUGUGCUCACCGCACGGCUCCGUACCUUGCACACUGCCCACUCGUUUGGUUUUAUAUUCACUCUGCGUCGUCAUCUUUCUUCCUCCUUUCGAUGUGGGACUCUGGCUUUCUUCCCUUCUCCGCCAAACUCUCUUCCCUUGCUCGACUCUUUACUGCGCGAAAUCUUUCUUUCUCUUCCUUUGGUUGCUUCGAUUUUAGCUCCCUUUGUAUGUAUGAGCACAGCGAUCCACUGCCAUAUGGUUGGUUCGUUGGCUGGAUGGCACUGAAAGCUUUCGUGGGGAUUCAAUGACCAAAAACAAAUACAAGAAAGAGCUUCAGAUCUUAAAUCCUUCAAUGGCUUGGAAAACAUGAAAACUGGGCAUCUCCUAGGGGAAACAUCAAUGGUUGUGUUUGAGAUUUCAAGUUCAUGAAAUCUCAAACCUUAAAAUAUGGUACAGAGGAAUUUUGGAAGGGGGAUGGCUACAUCCUCUUAUAUACCUAAGGCCUAUGGUCAUUAACUUCCCUCAAACAAAAAUAAAUAAAGUUAGUCCAAUUGUGGGCUUUGUUGACUCUAGGGGACUACUGGUAGAACCGUGAGUGUAUGUUCCCAAAUUUCACUUUCACUGCUCAUUUGAUGCCUUGUGUUAGCUUCCUGAUUAUUAUGGUUCCUCUGGUGGUACAGCAUGGAUGUGUUCAAAUUUUCCCAUCACCUAUCCACAGGAGAAAAGAUAGGUCCUCCCCAUCACGCAUCCUGUAAGAUUACAUUACAUGUUACCCCCACUGUAAAUUUGUCUUCUUAUAACCUUAUUAUUACACAUAACAGUCUAAAAGUGACUUUUUUGAAGGUAACUGUUCAAUCAUUAGCUUUGGGAUGGCUUAUGAUAGGUUAUGUGACUUUAACUGAAGUUACUUUACGAAAAAAAAAAUUAAGUGAUGCCUGUUUUACCUUUUAAUUGUGAAAAUGACCUAGUAAAAAUAACUUAAGAAAUUUUAACAUGUGAGAAUCAAAAGUUGAAAUGUGCUGCGUCAAAGUCAAACAUCCCUAAGAAUCUCUACUUUUAGAUCCCACUCUUCCUUUUGCAGUUCAGUUUAAAGAAUACUUCUUCAAAAGCAAGUCAGAGCAGUUUAUUGGAGGAGAAUAAUCGUGGUUUGCAUCAACUGCUGAAGACCAUCAAUUUCAUUUCUAACAGCUGAUUUGGUGGAGAGGAAUGUUUUACUCUGCCCACCCAUUUACAGGGGAAAAUAUACACAUAUUUGGUUGUGGGAACUGGAAUUACUGGCUCCUGUCAAAAUUGUUGAAGUUACAGCUCUUUGUCCUUCAUGUUUCAAGAGCGUCUCAAUCGAGAAGUGAGAUCAAUGAAGGUGUCUUCGUCGCAUGGAAUUGUUAGAGCGCCCAUUGGGUGGUUGAAACCGAAUUCUUCCUCAGCUCGGUUGAGCAAGUCCAGGAAUGAUGGAUGCUUCAAGUAAGAUAUUGGAACCACGAACCGCUUGUUCCUCCUGAUAUCUCCUACGUAAACCGCGAUGUGGCCUUUUGGAAUGCCAGACUGGGUUCGAGUGAGGAGAGACUGCAAUUUGAAACUCUGUUUGGCAUUAAGAAUCACAGAGAGCAACCGGAUACCCAUGACUAUAUAUUCUGUGAAUUGGAGGGAAAGUUCACUGAAAGGAUCUAAAUGCUUUGUGUUGACUUAAGAGCUGGUGGUGGAAGUUCUAGCUAGCACUUGUGAAGGGAGUGUGUGUAAAGAUUUGGGAUAUAUGAGUUUAUUCAUUAUCAUGCUUGUAUUUAUAGAGCAUAGCAAUUGAAGAAGAGGGCCAAAUAGGGUGACCUAGGGUCUAAAAGUACAGUGAGAAGGCUGGAAAGCAGUUGGGGUGUGCUGUGGAGGGACCCAUCCCUUGAAUGCUCACAUGGCUUUGCUGAUACAGCUCAACAAGUCCCUGUUUUUCUCUUUCGCACACAUCUAUUCAUAUUGAGUAUCCCCACAUGUGCCCCUGCAAUUAAACGAACUGGCAGAUGCAGCUUUCCAUAUCUGAUGUUCAAGAAAACAGACAAUGCACCGGAAUGUAAAUGCAAGCAGAGAAGGAGACGAUAUGAGAUUUCCUCUUUUCCAAGUAAGGAAAGCAAAAGAGUGAUGAGUGAUAAAUGGUUGUAUCAACUUCUUGAGAGUCUGUUUGCUGUAGUCUUCUAUUGUCCACACUCAGUUUUAUUGUCUUGUGAGAAAUGGUAGGAAUGCAGGUCAAUUAGUCCAGCUGGGUUUGAUCAAUAUAUUAUAUGACCAGAUUACAUUAA